rnacentral:rRNA from 1 species
AUUGAACGCUGGCGGAAUGCUUUACACAUGCAAGUCGAACGGCAGCACGGACUUCGGUCUGGUGGCGAGUGGCGAACGGGUGAGUAAUGUAUCGGAACGUGCCCAGUCGUGGGGGAUAACGUAGUGAAAAUUACGCUAAUACCGCAUACGAUCAAUGGAUGAAAGCGGGGGAUCGCAAGACCUCGCGCGAUUGGAGCGGCCGAUAUCAGAUUAGGUAGUUGGUGGGGUAAAGGCUCACCAAGCCACCGAUCUGUAGCUGGUCUGAGAGGACGAGCGGCCACACUGGAACGGAGACACGGUCCAGACUCCUACGGGAGGCAGCAGUGGGGAAUUCUGGACAAUGGGCGAAAGCCUGAUCCAGCCAUUCCGCGUGCAGGAUGAAGGCCCUCGGGUUGUAAACUGCUUUUGUACAGAACGAAAAGGUUUCUACUAAUACUAGGAGCUCAUGACGGUACUGUAAGAAUAAGCACCGGCUAACUACGUGCCAGCCGCCGCAGUAA